UGUAUGUUCUUACACUCCUGGAGCAGACAAGCCUCCUUUUCUAACAGCAACAAAUUUGCCUUCAGCAUAAAGUGCUGGUGUAAGUCCAUUAGUGCAGGAAUCAAGGAUGGAAAGCAGCUGUUAUUCAUCCAGGGGGAAAGCACCAGAUUCAAGAAGCUCAAGCCAAAAGGCCACCUGAGGAUGCUUCUCUGCUUCCAUUCGGAACAGAAACAGCUCUGUCAUACGGCAAAGCCCUGACUCCCGAUGGCCCCAAGGUGAACACAGCGGAUUCAGGUGGUCUGCUGAACCACGGCGCAGCUUGCAGGUGCCCCCCUUCCCUUGCUGAACGAAACCACCGAUAAUUUGGGUCAAGUGAUACAACUGCAGAGGACAGAGACAAUAAAUGUUUCUAUCAACUUUUGCACCUCAAACCUUUACAGUUCUUUGAAGACCCUUACCUGCAACACUGCUGUGGUUGAUGCCACUGCUCACAACUACGUAUGUCAAGUAGUGACUGAUACAAAGACACCAAAAUAUUUGUACUCAAUUAGGUUGCAGAGCUACUUUAGAUUGUUAAAAUGUGAUUAUACUUAACUAUUAAUAAUAAAAUCCUAUUCUUUUCCCAUUGAUAAAGAA